CGUUCACCUCCUCCAGCCGGGUCAUCGCUGCCCGGAGGCAGUGGCUCACACAGUAGCGCAGACAGCCCAGCAUGAUGACAAGACUCUCUAAAGGACCUUUAAUGACUUAUAGACUGGUAGUACUCAUCUGGUGUCCGGUGAGAAAGUUUGUCGAGUUCAAAGUUUUGAGUUGACAGCCAGCAGCCGCCAUGACACCUCGGCUCCGGCUACGGGGAGAGCUGAGGGUCAAAACGGGCAAAUACGCGUUUUACAUUUGAGGGAGUUUUUAACUUUAUUGUCUCCCCUACUGCUGCUGCAGCACUUUAAUCAACUAUGCCGUAAAAAAUAUAUAUAUAUAUUCAAUUAAAAAAAUUAAAAAACUAA